rnacentral:rRNA from 1 species
AGUGAACGCUGGCGGUAGGCCUAACACAUGCAAGUCGAACGGCAGCACAGUAAGAGCUUGCUCUUACGGGUGGCGAGUGGCGGACGGGUGAGGAAUACAUCGGAAUCUACUUUUUCGUGGGGGAUAACGUAGGGAAACUUACGCUAAUACCGCAUACGACCUACGGGUGAAAGCAGGGGAUCUUCGGACCUUGCGCGAUUGAAUGAGCCGAUGUCGGAUUAGCUAGUUGGCGGGGUAAAGGCCCACCAAGGCGACGAUCCGUAGCUGGUCUGAGAGGAUGAUCAGCCACACGGGAACUGGGACACGGUCCAGGCUCCUACGGGAGGCAGCAGUGGGGAAUAUUGGACAGAGGGCGCAAGCCUGAUCCAGCCAUACCGCGUGGGUGAAGAAGGCCUUCGGGUUGUAAAGCCCUUUUGUUGGGAAAGAAAAGCAGCAGGUUAAUACCCCGCUGUUCUGACGGUACCCAAAGAAUAAGCACCGGCUAACUUCGUG